rnacentral:pre_miRNA from 1 species
CCGCACAAGAAGAUGAAGCUGCCAGCAUGAUCUGAAAGCAGACGCGUACGUUCUUCACGGUCAUUUCUGGAGAACAGCUACGUGAGAAAUAGGCAGCCAGAUCAUCUGGCAGUUUCAUGCUCUUGUGGC